UACGGAGGGUGCAAGCGUUAUCCGGAUUUAUUGGGUUUAAAGGGUGCGCAGGCGGGGCCUUAAGUCAGUGGUGAAAUCCCUUCGCUUAACGAAGGAACUGCCAUUGAUACUGAGGUUCUUGAAUCUAGUUGACGUUAGUGGAAUGUGUCAUGUAGCGGUGAAAUGCUUAGAUAUGGCACAGAACACCGAUCGCGAAGGCAGCUAACGAAGCUAGUAUUGACGCUCAGGCACGACAGCAUGGGGAGCAAACAGG
rnacentral:rRNA from 1 species